UACGGGGGGGGCAAGCGUUGUUCGGAAUUACUGGGCGUAAAGGGCUCGUAGGCGGCCAACUAAGUCGGAUGUGAAAUCCCCAGGCUUAACCUGGGAACUGCAUCCGAUACUGGAUGGCUUGAAUCCGGGAGAGGGAUGCAGGAUUCCAGGUGUAGCGGUGAAAUGCGUAGAUAUCUGGAGGAAUACCGGUGGCGAAGGCGGCAUCCUGGACCAACACUGACACUGAGGAGCGAAAGCCAGGGGAGCAAACGGG
rnacentral:rRNA from 1 species